rnacentral:lncRNA from 10 species
AGGAGGCUGAGGCAGGAGAAUCACUUAAACCCGGGAGGCAGAGGUCGCAGCGAGCCAAGAUUGCACCAUUGCACUCCAGCCUGGGCGAUAAGAGUGAAACUCGGUCUCAAAAAAAUGAAUAGAUAAAUAAAUAACUUUUCUAGAUUCAGGCAAGUUGGACAAGAAUAGAAAGUCUUUAUACCACAGAAAUGUAUAGGGGAAAUAAUGAAAAGGUUAGCUUUGCUUCCUGCAUCAGCUAAUUGAAGUUCGUCAGUGCUUUGAAUGUGUCUUCUGCAACUCUAGAAUGCUCCUUCUAGUAUAAAGUUCUAAGAUUUUGUUACCUUCAAACUGUGAAUUGAGUCUAUUCAAUAAAAUAUGUAAAUAAUA